rnacentral:sRNA from 1 species
GCUGGUGCGUACCGUCCCGAACCCUAGGAGCCGAGAUCCCACCCGCAGGACCCCAAAACCCAAUGAUCCUGCAGCAGCCCUUGCAGCGAGGCCCCCAGGGAGGGGCCCAGCGCCUCCCGCGGGCCGCCUUGGGGGUGACUUGGGGCCUGGACGCCAGCUCCCCUCUCCGAGGAGCUGUGCCCAUGAGCACCAAGCGGCGCCUGGAGGAGGAGCAGUGAGUUUGGGGGCAGGGAGGAACUCCCAACAAGAUCUCUGUCACCUCUGGUCCCCAACAGGCUGCCUCCUGUGUCAGUAUCCCAGCCUGCCUCUCUCCCAUCUCUCCCCAGGGAGCCUCUGCGCAAGCAGUUUCUGUCUGAGGAGAACAUGGCCACCCACUUCUCUCAACUCAGCCUGCACAAUGACCACCCCUACUGCAGCCCCCCCAUGACCUUCUCCCCAGCCCUGCCCCCACUCAGGAGCCCUUGCUCUGAGCUGCUUCUCUGGCGCUAUCCUGGCAGCCUCAUCCCUGAGGCCCUCCGUCUGCUGAGGCUGGGGGACACCCCCAGUCCCCCCUACCCUGCAACCCCAGCUGGGGACAUAAUGGAGCUCUGAGUGCUGGUGGACAGUGCCCCUCCCACCUUCCUUCUUCCCCACAACAGAAGAGACCAGCGACUCCCGCAAAGGGACAAGGUUCCUCCCUCUCCUGCAGAGUAGGCAUCUGGGCACCAAGACCUUCCCUCAACAGAGGACACUGAGCCCAACGGAGUUCUGGGAUGGGAGGGGUGGGAGCAUGGGAAGGGAGGCAUCCCACCCCCAAGAAGAACUGAAUAAAGAUUGCUGAGCAAAGGA